AGUGGGGAAUCUUAGACAAUGGGGGAAACCCUGAUCUAGCCAUGCCGCGUGAGCGAUGAAGGCCUUAGGGUUGUAAAGCUCUUUCAGCUGGGAAGAUAAUGACGGUACCAGCAGAAGAAGCCCCGGCUAACUCCGUGCCAGCAGCCGCGGUAAUACGGAGGGGGCUAGCGUUGUUCGGAAUUACUGGGCGUAAAGCGCGCGUAGGCGGACUUUUAAGUCGGGGGUGAAAUCCCAGGGCUCAACCCUGGAACUGCCUUCGAUACUGGAAGUCUGGAGUUCGAGAGAGGUGAGUGGAAUUCCGAGUGUAGAGGUGAAAUUCGUAGAUAUUCGGAGGAACACCAGUGGCGAAGGCGGCUCACUGGCUCGAUACUGACGCUGAGGUGCGAAAGCGUGGGGAGCAAA
rnacentral:rRNA from 1 species